CUCGUAGGUGGCCAACUAAGUCAGACGUGAAAUCCCUCGGCUUAACCGGGGAACUGCGUCUGAUACUGGAUGGCUUGAGUUUGGGAGAGGGACGCGGAAUUCCAGGUGUAGCGGUGAAAUGCGUAGAUAUCUGGAGGAACACCGGUGGCGAAGGCGGCGUCCUGGACCAACACUGACACUGAUGAGCGAAAGCCAGGGGAGCAAACGG
rnacentral:rRNA from 1 species